rnacentral:rRNA from 1 species
GAUGAACGCUAGCGGCAGGCUUAACACAUGCAAGUCGAGGGGCAACGAGAGUAGCAAUACUUGUCGGCGACCGGCGCAAGGGUGCGUAACACGUGAGCAACAUACCCAAAUCAGGAGGAUAACCGGAGGAAACUCUGCCUAAUACUCCAUAAUAUCAUCUUAUGGCAUCAUGAAAUGAUAAAAGAUUUAUCGGAUUCGGAUUGGCUCGCGGGACAUUAGCUCGUUGGUGAGGUAACGGCUCACCAAGGCCACGAUGUCUAGGGGUUCUGAGAGGAAGGUCCCCCACACUGGAACUGAGACACGGUCCAGACUCCUACGGGAGGCAGCAGUGAGGAAUAUUGGACAAUGGUCGGAAGACUGAUCCAGCCAUGCCGCGUGAAGGUUACUGUCCUAUGGAUAUUAAACUUCUUUUGUAUUGAGAGCAAUAAGGUGCACGCGUGCACCGAUGAGAGUAUCAUACGAAUAAGC